rnacentral:rRNA from 1 species
UACGAAGGGGGGCUAGCGUUGUUCGGAAUUACUGGGCGUAAAGCGCGCGCAGGCGGUCUUCCAAGUCAGUGGUGAAAGCCUGGAGCUCAACUCCAGAACUGCCAUUGAAACUGUUAGACUUGAGUACGAGAGAGGUGAGUGGAAUUCCCAGUGUAGAGGUGAAAUUCGUAGAUAUUGGGAAGAACACCAGUGGCGAAGGCGGCUCACUGGCUCGUAACUGACGCUCAGGCGCGACAGCGUGGGGAUCGAAACAGG